UCCGAGUUGUAAUUUGAAGAAGGUAACUCUGGAGUUGGCCCUUGUCUAUGUUCCUUGGAACAGGACGUCACAGAGGGUGAGAAUCCCGUGCGAUGGGGUGUCCAAUUCUAUGUAGAGUGCUUUCGAAGAGUCGAGUUGUUUGGGAAUGCAGCUCUAAGUGGGUGGUAAAUUCCAUCUAAAGCUAAAUAUUGGCGAGAGACCGAUAGCGAACAAGUACAGUGAUGGAAAGAUGAAAAGAACUUUGAAAAGAGAGUGAAAAAGUACGUGAAAUUGUUGAAAGGGAAGGGCUUGAGAUCAGACUCGGUAUUUUGCGAUCCUAUCCUUCGUGGAGAGGUUUCACUUGCAGCUUACCGGGCCAGCAUCGGUUUGGAUGGUAGGAUAAUGACAUUGGAAUGUGGCUCUUCGGAGUGUUAUAGCCUUUGUUGAUACUGCCUAUCUAGACCGAGGACUGCGUCUUUGACUAGGAUGAUGGCAUAAUGAUCUUAAGCCGCCCGUCUU
rnacentral:rRNA from 1 species